rnacentral:lncRNA from 1 species
GGCAGAAGGGACGUCCCCAAAUGACACUCGGAGGCCGCCUCCCUGGGCUCCGGUGCUCGGUGCCGGGAGGAGCGGCACGGCUUUCUACCCCGCCUCAGGUGCGCCAGCACGUUUUCUGGGCAGCAUCUGUGUGUUAGGCGACCGGAGAGGUGGGUUCCUUAUAGGGAAUAAGAAAACUGAAACUGACUUCCAACUGCAGGCAGAAGGAAGCAGUGGUCAUUGCUGGAGGUUAAAACUGUUCUGACCGGGCGCAGUGGCUCACGCCUGUAUUCCCAGCACUUUGGGAGGCUGAGGCGAGCAGAUCACGAAGUCAGGAGAUCAAGACCAUCCUGGCCAACAAGGUGAAACCCCGGCUCUACUAAAAAUACAAAAAUUAGCUGGGCGUGGUGGCGCGCGCCGGAAGUCCCAGCUACUUGGGAGGAUGAGGCAGAAGAAUCGCUUGAACCCGGGAGGCGGAGGUUGCGGUGAGCCGAGAUCGCGCCAUUGCACUCCAGCCUGGCGACUCAGCGAUACUCCGUCCCCCUCUCCCCGCCCCAAGAAAAAUCUGUUCAGUGGGGAGCGACAAGGAAGGAGCUUUCAGCCCGACUGGGGUCGCAGGGAAGAAUUCAAGAUGGCGUGUUUAGGAGCUCUAGCUCCUUGACAAAUUAGUAAAAUGUUAGUCUUAGGAGAAGAACGAAAAGGCUCUCCUAGGCUAAGAAACAGCAUACACAGUGAGAAACCUCAGAAGAAAUAAAAUUCAAGGAAGAUAGCAACAACGAAAACAUCAGAAGGAACACUAAAGCUAAAUGGAAAUGACUUUUGAAUUAUCUGCUUUGGAAGAUUAUCCAUGACACUGUUCUGCCCUGCUCUGCUCUAACAACAUUUUGCUAUUAUGCCUGCCUGAAAUGCCUUCUUUCCUCUUAACUCUGCGAAGCCUGUUCAUUUUUAAGACCCAGAUCAAGACUGCCUCCUCCAUGAAGAAACCGCUGACUAUUCAGGCUGACAAUUUUCUCUCCAUCCUCUGAAUUUCUCUAGCACUUAUCACCUGUAGAACUCAUUAAAAAUCAUGUACUGGUAAAGUUGAAAGCAGCUGGAGACCAUUUAAUCUAAAACCCUCAUUCUUUUGCCAUUGACAUUGUUGGCAUUAUUACAAAAACCCCUGCUAUUUAUCAUUUUUAUUGAUAUUAAACUUUCUACACUCCUAAUUUCUGUCUCUUCAAAUGUGUUUUCUCAAGGAUAGGAGAUAAAGCCUACACAUCCACAGCAGAUUAUCAUCACUUCCAUUUAUUGGGAUUUGUGACCUUUAAGUCAUUGUGCUAGGUCCUUCAUCUAUAUUACA